rnacentral:rRNA from 1 species
ACCACCGGCGGACGGCUCAGUAACACGUCGGUAACCUACCCUCGGGAGGGGGAUAACCCCGGGAAACUGGGGCUAAUCCCCCAUAGGCCUGAGGUACUGGAAGGUCCUCAGGCCGAAAGGGGCUUUUGCCCGCCCGAGGAUGGGCCGGCGGCCGAUUAGGUAGUUGGUGGGGUAACGGCCCACCAAGCCGAAGAUCGGUACGGGCUGUGAGAGCAGGAGCCCGGAGAUGGACACUGAGACACGGGUCCAGGCCCUACGGGGCGCAGCAGGCGCGAAACCUCCGCAAUGCGGGAAACCGCGACGGGGGGACCCCGAGUGCCGUGGCACCGCCACGGCUUUUCCGGAGUGUAAAAAGCUCCGGGAAUAAGGGCUGGGCAAGGCCGGUGGCAGCCGCCGCGGUAAUACCGGCGGCCCGAGUGGUGGCCGCUAUUAUUGGGCCUAAAGCGUCCGUAGCCGGGCCCGUAAGUCCCUGGCGAAAUCCCACGGCUCAACCGUGGGGCUUGCUGGGGAUACUGCGGGCCUUGGGACCGGGAGAGGCGGGGGGUACCCCUGGGGUAGGGGUGAAAUCCUAUAAUCCCAGGGGGACCGCCAGUGGCGAAG